AGGGGUAUAGCUCAGUUGGUAGAGCAGUGGUCUCCAAAACCACGUGCCAUGGGUUCGAAUCCUAUUGCCCCUGCCA
rnacentral:tRNA from 1 species